GUGCUUUCUCUCGCACACAUUUGAAUCAGAAGGCAGGGAAUGAGUCCGCUUACUGUGCUCUCCAAUAUGCAGACCGCUCAGAAAGAAAUAAACCAGAACACUUAUAAGUCAAAGACCCCUUUCUUCAAUCAAAGCCGCCUUUAAGAGAA